rnacentral:lncRNA from 1 species
GGAAAAGUCACACAACACAUGGCGAUUCUUAAUCUAGUCAAGCUGCCAAUUAACAUUAGCUGUCACAGGUGCCAGGAUAAGGAAGCACAGGAUGUUUGGGAGCGGCUGAGAGAUCACAAAGAAGCUUCCAGAAAAACUAAAUCCACUUGUCCAAACUCAGCCACACCGUUCCAAAGGCAACAUUUCCACCAGGCACCAGUGACCAGACAGUUCACCUCCAGGGAGUCCAAAGACUGCAGAGAUGAUGUCCUCCUUAGUCAGCCAUCUAAGCUGCUUCACUGUGCAGCUCGGAUCAUUCCCAACCAUCAGAUUCCAUUAGCCGCUACCCAGGCUCUGCUUCCAACCAUGGUUCACAGCAGUUCCCCAGGAUGCUGGACGAAUGGUCCCCUCAGGCACAAUCAGUGGAUCCUCAGGACACUUCCCAGUGGAAAUGUGUGGCUGUCUUGAUGAGUAUUUGUCACUGCUGCUGGCUGCCUGUCCCUGAGUAUUUUAAGCCUCUUUUGUUCCCUUCUCUGUUGUGGGUCUGUCACUGCCUAACUUUGACUGAUCCAGUCUGUUUCUGUCACUCUUGUUCUUCUUCUUUCUCCAGUGAAAUUUCUUUCACGAGGCAGUGACAAUUCCCACCUUCAGGGGAACUACCUGUUGUGAAAGGGAUGAGGAUUUAUUGGUAAAGACUCCUCCACGUCCACCAGUUCUUGAUUUCUUUCCCCUCAGGCCUUCUGGAGGAAUAUUUGUCUACACCAUGGGCAAAGGUAG